AUCAUUUUAUGGCUGAUAUGUGUGAUGAGGGGGUUUUCACACUCUUAUGUGGGAUGGGAAACGUCUUUAGAACAGUGGCACUUUACCUGUCUUAUA
rnacentral:snoRNA from 1 species